rnacentral:rRNA from 1 species
AUAGUUCAUUGUCAAGAGGGAAACAGCCCAGAUCACCAUUUAAGGCCCCUAAAUAACUACUAAGUGAUAAAGGAUGUAAAAGUACGUUGACAACCAGGAGGUUUGCUUAGAAGCAGCAACCCUUUAAAAAGUGCGUAAUAGCUUACUGGUCUAGUGCUUUUGCGCCGAAAAUGAACGGGUCUAAGUAGUUUGCCGAAAGUGUGAGAUUUUUAAUUUAUUAAAAUCGGUAGAAGAGCGUUCUGUUUUAGUGUGAAGCAAUAAUGAAAAUAUUUGUGGACUAAUCAGAAGUGAGAAUGUCGGCUUAAGUAACGAAAACAUUGGUGGAAAUCCAAUGCCCCGAAAACCUAAGGUUUCCUUUGCAAGGUUCGUCCACGAAGGGUUAGUCAGGUCCUAAAGCGAGGUUUAAAAACGUAGCUGAUGGUUAACAGGUUAAUAUUCCUGUACUUCUUUUAUUAUAUUAAGUGUAACGGAGAAGGCUAAGCCAGCCAAAUAUUGGUCGUUUUGGUUUAAUCUUUAGAGGUUUUGAGAAUUAUUAUUAUAAAAAUAAUUUUGAGCUGAUAAGAAAAUACAAGAAAUACUACGGUGUUUUGAGUGGUCUACGUCAUACUUCCAAGAAAAACAUUUUUAAUUUUUAAUAAAAGUAUCUGUACCUUAAACUGACACAGGUAGGUAAGUAGAAAAUACUAAGGGGCGCGAGAUAACUCUUUCUAAGGAACUCGGCAAAAUGACUCUGUAACUUCGGGAGAAAGAGUGCCUUAUUAAAAGUAAGGCCACAGUAAUCAGACCCAGGCGACUGUUUACCAAAAACACAGGUCUCCGCUAAGUUGUAAAACGAUGUAUGGGGGCUGACGCCUGCCCAGUGCCGGAAGGUUAAAGAAGUUGGUUAGCAUUAGCGAAGCUAGUAACUGAAGCCCUGGUGAACGGCGGCCGUAACUAUAACGGUCCUAAGGUAGCGAAAUUCCUUGUCGGGUAAGUUCCGACCCGCACGAAAGGCGUAACGAUCUGGGUACUGUCUCAGAAAGAGGCUCGGUGAAAUAGAAUUGACUGUGAAGAUGCGGUCUACUUGCACUUGGACAGAAAGACCCUAUGAAGCUUUACUGUAACUUGAUAUUGUUUUUGGAUUUUCUUUGCGCAGCAUAGGUGGGAAGCUUUGAUCUUACUUUUUCGGGAGUUUGUGAGCUGUAAUAUGAGAUACCACUCUGAGAAAAUCAGAAUUCUAAUAGUAUUCUUUUAUCAAGGUACUUGACAGUGUCAGGCGGGCAGUUUUACUGGGGCGGUAGCCUCCUAAAAAGUAACGGAGGCGUACAAAGGUUUUCUCAUUCUAGACGGAAAUUAGUUGUAGAGUGUAAAGGCAUAAGAAAGCUUGACUGUGAGACCUACAAGUCGAACAGAGACGAAAGUCGGUCUUAGUGAUCCGACGGUUCUGAGUGGAAAGGCCGUCGCUCAACGGAUAAAAGUUACUCUAGGGAUAACAGGCUGAUCUCCCCCAAGAGUUCACAUCGACGGGGAGGUUUGGCACCUCGAUGUCGGCUCAUCGCAUCCUGGAGCGGUAGUACGUUCCAAGGGUUGGGCUGUUCGCCCAUUAAAGCGGUACGUGAGCUGGGUUCAGAACGUCGAGAGACAGUUCGGUCCAUAUCCGGUGUGAGUGUUAGAGUAUUGAAAGGAGCCUUCUUUAGUACGAGAGGACCGGGAAGGAUGCACCUCUGAUCCACCAGUUUUUGUGCCAACAGAAUACGCUGGGUAGUCACGUGCAUAGUGGAUAACUGCUGAAAGCAUAA